rnacentral:rRNA from 1 species
AGAGUUUGAUCCUGGCUCAGGACGAACGCUGGCGGCGUGCUUAACACAUGCAAGUCGAACGAUGAAGCUGGAGCUUGCUCCGGUGGGUUAGUGGCGAACGGGUGAGUAACACGUGAGCAAUCUGCCCUUGACUCUGGGAUAACUGCGGGAAACUGUAGCUAAUACCGGAUACGACCCUUGGAGGCAUCUCUGGGGGUGGAAAGAAUUUCGGUCAAGGAUGAGCUCGCGGCCUAUCAGCUAGUUGGUGAGGUAAUGGCUCACCAAGGCGACGACGGGGAGCCGGCCUGAGAGGGUGACCGGCCACACUGGAACUGAGACACGGUCCAGACUCCUACGGGAGGCAGCAGUGGGGAAUAUUGCACAAUGGGCGAAAGCCUGAUGCAGCAACGCCGCGUGAGGGAUGAAGGCCUUCGGGUUGUAAACCUCUUUUAGCAGGGAAGAAGCGAAAGUGACGGUACCUGCAGAAAAAGCACCGGCUAACUACGUGCCAGCAGCCGCGGUAAUACGUAGGGUGCAAGCGUUGUCCGGAAUUAUUGGGCGUAAAGAGCUCGUAGGCGGUUUGUCGCGUCUGCUGUGAAAAUCCGAGGCUCAACCUCGGACCUGCAGUGGGUACGGGCAAACUAGAGUGCGGUAGGGGAGAUGGGAAUUCCUGGUGUAGCGGUGGAAUGCGCAGAUAUCAUGAGGAACACCGAUGGCGAAAGCACAUCUCUGGGCCGUAACUGACGCUGAGGAGCGAAAGCGUGGGGAGCGAACAGGAUUAGAUACCCUGG